UAAAAGAGAAUAACCCUUGUAUAAUUUCAAGAAUAUGGCUUGAAAGUUUCUACCAGCUACCAAUAAUAGCUUGUCUACAAGGAAUGGGAU
rnacentral:ncRNA from 1 species